rnacentral:lncRNA from 1 species
AUGUUGAUGAUUUAUUAUUCUUUUGGAAAGAUGUUGCAAUGUACAAUAGCGCCCUAGCUCAACUGAAAGAGCACUUUGACAUGAAAGAUCUUGGUGAGGUAAACAACUACCUAUCUCUGGAAAUAGAGAGAGAUCAAGAUGGUAACAUUCUAGUACACCAGUCACGGAAAAUUGCUGAUGUGUUAAGCAAACUAAAUCUGAUGGAUGCUAACCCUGUAGACACACCGAUGACAACAGGUUAUCAGGUAGAUGACACUGAAGAAGCAUUUUCUGACACUACACUGUACAGGAGUGUGCUAGGCAAGCUAAACUUCAUUGCCAGAUGUUCAAGACCAGACAUUGCUGUUAGCUGUAAUUUGCUAAGCAGACAAGUCAACAAUCCUAGUGUCAAGGAUUGGAAAGCUCUGAAACGCAUAGCGCGGUAUUUGAAAGGCACUAUGCAUUACAGACUGAGAUUUAACAAUCAGAAGUCUGAUGGUCUUGAGAUAUUUGCAGAUGCAAGUUUUGGAAGUGACGCUACAGACAGGAAAAGUACGUCUGGAGUUUGCUACAUGUACAAUCAGAGUCUUUUUGAUUGGUCAUGCAAGAAGCAAACAACAGUUAGCUUAAGUACUUGUGAAGCUGAACUGAAUGCACUGUCUUAUUCACUUAAGGAUUGUGAAUGGUUAGUACAAUUGUGCAAAGAUAUGAAAAUUCCUGUCAAAUGUCCAAUCCAGGUUUACCAGGACAACAAAGCAUGUUUGGCUUUGCUGAAGUCUGAAGGUUGUAAGCAAAGCACAAAGCACUUGCAAUUAAAGUUGCAGCAUGCUAGGGAAUGUAUUCAGAAGGGACUCGUAACGGUGUCCUAUAUGCCAGGUAAUGAAAUUCCUGCUGAUGUAUUGUCCAAGAUUGUAUCAAGGGAUCAACACUGUACCUAUGUGCAGAAGUUGGGUUUGUACUGAUAUUGUGCAAACACGCUGCCCAGUGAUGUUCACAGAAAGGGGAGGAUGUUGGUUUCUAUUUCCCUCACUGAGCAGCAACUGCAGUCACAAGACAUUGUUUUGCAUUCCACAGUCAGAGGUACUGUUGGAGUUUCUCACGGGAAAGGGAGACUGGAUGUGACGUACACUGGUUUCCUGUUUUUCACUCUGUGUGAUUCUCUCCAAGCUGUCGAGGAGAGAGGAUGCAUUUUUCUGCUCCUGCAGAGGCAAGAUGUCUUUCUGUAAUAUACCAGCUUUGAACUGUAAAUAAAGCAAUAUAGAGUAUGUAGCACGUAUUCUUCAUCCUUCCGCUGGCCACGACAGACUCUGCUUUAAAUCAACA